rnacentral:lncRNA from 1 species
UAUAUGGCUAUCUUAGUGGUGAUGUUCAAGCUACAUUGAUUGAGUUGGGAGUCUUUUUUCGAGAACUGUGUUGUCAAAAAUUGAAGAUUAACUUGAAAAGUUUGAGAAGGAUAUUGUGUUCAUUCUUUGUAAGUUAGAAAAAAUCUUUCCACCAUCAUUUUUUGAUGUUAUGGUGCAUCUGGUUGUUCAUCUCCUAAAGAAAGUUCUUUUGGUCGGAUCAGUAUAUUAUC